rnacentral:misc_RNA from 1 species
CUUUUUCCAAUAUGGCACCUUCCAUGGAAGAAAAAAUUGAGAGUGUCACCUCGUAUAAUUUGCGGCCCUUAGUCCUCCAUGGAUAUAUUUUCCCAUUUAUAUUUAUAUACAUUGCAUGGCUAUAUCUUUUGGUGGUUGCCUAUGGGGUCAGUGAAUAUUUGGAAGCUGGAUUGAUCGUUUUAGCAGCCAUAGGAUGUGUCCAAAUUUUGGUCUGCUUGUUCUGCCAUUGGUCAAUACACGUGAGGUGUUCGCUCACAUGCAGGAAGGAAUCUAACCCCUUUGAUGCUGAUUGGGUGAAGGUUGUCCCUACAGCCAACAAUGGAUAUCCAGAACUGGUCCAGCUUCACACAGAUAUUCAUCCAGGCACAGGGAAGCGAGAUCUGUGGUUCACAUUCCAGAAGACAAAGUACAUUUAUGAUGCGGAGGAGAAGAAGCGAUUCCAGGCCGUGGAGUUUCCUGUCAGUCACGCCAUCAAGGUUUACCAAUCCUGGAAGGGUUAUCAGGAUGAUGCAGAGGUUGCGGCCACCAAGAAGAAGUUUGGAGACAAUCAGUUGACAAUGGAGCCUCCAGAGUUCAAAGAACUUUUCAAGGAGAGGGCAACAGCACCUUUCUUUGUAUUUCAAGUCUUCUGUGUGGCUUUAUGGUGCCUUGAUGAAUAUUGGUAUUACAGUGUCUUUACUUUGUUCAUGCUGGUGACGUUUGAGGCGACACUGGUUCAUCAACAGCUCCGAAACCUGACAGAGAUUCGGAAGAUGGGCAAUAAACCAUAUAUGAUACAGGUAUAUCGCAACCGUAAGUGGCGCCCCAUCCUCAGCAGUGACCUUGUACCUGGUGACAUCUGCUCCAUCACUAGAUCUCAGAAUGACAAUCCUGUCCCUUGUGACCUUCUGCUUCUGAGGGGUCCAUGUAUUGUGGAUGAGUCUAUGUUAACAGGAGAAUCCGUUCCUCAGAUGAAGGAGCCAGUAGAAGGACUAGAACCAGAUCGCAUCUUGGACCUCCAGUUUGAUAGCAAACUUCAUGUCCUUUCUGGAGGUACUAAGGUGGUCCAGCAUACCCCUCCUAACAAGUCAGCCCCAGGACUAAAAGCUACCGAUAACGGCUGCAUUGCUUACGUAUUGAGAACUGGAUUUAAUACUUCCCAGGGUAAAUUACUGAGCACGAUCCUUUAUGGAGUAAAGCGAGUGACAGCCAACAAUCUAGAAACAUUCCUCUUUAUUCUCUUCCUUCUCAUCUUUGCCAUUGCUGCUGCUUCAUAUGUCUGGAUAGAAGGAACGAAGGAUCCAAGUCGGAAUAAGUACAAGCUCUUCUUGGAGUGCACCCUCAUCCUCACCUCAGUGGUACCCCCAGAGCUCCCUAUUGAGUUAUCCCUGGCUGUCAACUCAUCUCUACUUGCACUCACCAGACUAGGUGUAUACUGCACAGAGCCAUUCCGUAUCCCGUUUGCUGGUAAGGUUGACAUCUGUUGCUUUGAUAAGACAGGAACACUCACCAGUGAUAACCUAGUGGUAGAGGGAGUAGCGGGUUUACCGGGUAAAGACAAGCUUUGCACCAUCACCGAGGUGCCCUUAGAUACUGUUCAGGUGCUUGCUACCUGUCAUUCCCUGGCCCAGCUGGACGAUACCCUGGUAGGGGAUCCUUUGGAGAAGGCCACACUGACCGCUGUGGACUGGACACUCACCAAGGGGGAUGUUGUGAUUCCCCAUCGAAUCCGCAGUCAGCCCCUGAAGAUUGUCCAACGCUUUCACUUCUCUAGCGCCCUCAAGAGGAUGGCAGUGAUUGCUUCUCUCCAGGAACAUGGCUCCGUAGACUGCACCUAUCUGGCUUCCGUCAAGGGUGCCCCAGAAACACUAAGAUCAAUGUUCUCAGUUGUUCCUGAAAACUAUGAUGAAGUUCACUCACAGAUGUCUAGGCAAGGUGCUAGGGUGCUAGCCCUCGGACACAGGAAGCUAGGUCACAUGUCUUCACAACAGCUGCGUGACCUGUCUCGUGAUGAGGUUGAAAAAGACCUGACUUUUGUUGGUUUUGUCAUCAUCUCUUGUCCUCUGAAAUUUGAUUCGAAAGCAGCGAUCAAGGAGAUCCAGCAUGCUUCUCACUAUACCACCAUGAUUACUGGUGAUAACCCUCUGACUGCCUGCCAUGUCGCCAAAGAACUACGCUUCACCAAGAAACCACACACUCUUAUCCUAAAACCACCCACUGAGAACGAAUAUGAUGAAUGGCAUUGGCAGUCCAUCGAUGACACGGUGACGUAUCCCAUGAUACCAUCUGCAGGGGAAGUGCGCCUUCUAUUGGCCAGUGAUCUUUGUCUUACCGGAGAGGCUAUAACCCACCUACAAACCACCAAUAUAACUUUUCUGAACAGAAUUUUACCAAGGGUUAAAGUGUUUGCACGAGUAGCACCCAAACAAAAGGAGUAUGUAAUUACCACACUAAAGAGUCUUGGAUAUACGACCCUCAUGUGUGGAGAUGGUACCAAUGACGUAGGAGCUCUAAAGCAUGCACAUGUUGGUGUUGCACUUCUUUCAAAUGUUCCAGAAAGGUUUUUACGAGAUAGGAAAAAGCCGAAAGAAGAGACAGCAGAGACAGGAGGGGAAAAUAAACAAGUUAAGAAUUCCUCUGGCCCAGAGAGGAUACCAUCUGCCUCUCAUCAUGGAGGGGGCAGGCAUGGGGGUGGAGGAGGACGAGCAGCUCGACAGAGGGCUAUCGCUAAAGGAGAGGACCUUACUAGGUCACAAAAUAAAAAGCUAAAUAACUUAUUGAAAGAAAUGGAGGAGCAGGACCAAGCUCAAGUAGUCAAGUUAGGAGAUGCAAGUAUAGCAUCGCCCUUCACUUCUAAAUUAUCAUCAGUGCAAUGUGUGUGUCACAUCAUUAAACAAGGCCGCUGUACGUUGGUCACCACUCUUCAAAUGUUCAAGAUUCUAGCACUAAAUGCUCUCAUCCUAGCCUACAGUCAAAGUGUUCUAUAUCUAGAUGGCAUCAAAUUCAGCGACGCCCAGGCCACGCUACAAGGCCUCUUAUUGGCUGGUUGUUUCCUCUUUAUAUCAAGGUCAAAGCCAUUGAAGGUAUUAUCAAGGAGUCGUCCUCUACCAAAUAUCUUCAAUGUCUACACCAUCUUAACAGUCAUCUUUCAAUUUGCUGUCCAUUUUAUGAGCCUCAUGUACCUCGUACAGGAAGCAAAAGCGAGGUCACCACCCAGGGAGACUGAAUUUCCUGAUCUUGAGAAAGAGUUUGAACCAAAUCUUGUUAACAGCACAGUAUAUAUCCUCUCCAUGAUGUUACAGAUUAGCACAUUUGCUGUUAAUUACAAGGGUCAUCCUUUCAUGGAGUCGUUGAGAGACAACAAGCCUCUCCUGUACAGUCUUGCAUUCUCUACAGUGUCUGUAUUUGCUCUAAUAUCUGGAGUACUGCCCGAUAUAUCCAGUCAGUUUGAAAUUGUAGAAUUUUCAUCAGAUUUCCGUUUGCUGGUGUUCCAAGUUCUUGUAGGAGACAUGGUUUCUGCAUUCAUCAUUGACAGGGUUCUUCAAUUUAUUCUGGGAUCAGCAAAAUUAAGAGAAGCAAACUAAACCCAUAUUUAAUGAACCAUCAUCAAUCAUCAUGCAUGGGACUACAGUUCAGCAAUUUGGGUAUUUAUGAUGCAUUUAAGCAGUGCAAGAUGUUCUUAUAUGCAGUGAAUGAAUGUUAAAUCCCACAGGUAUUAUUUGUAUUAUUGUAUGUUCGGUAGCAGAGAUCUAUGGAGUGAUUUGGUUGGAUAUUGGACCGCAGUUAGGAAAAGAGAUUAUUAUAAAUGUAGAUUAUUGCUGAACCAAAGUCAAUUCCAUAAAGGUAUGAGAAAUGUGUACUCUUGAGAACAUGUUCAUAAUGACAAGGAUAAUAGCCACUUGGUCUAAUAACAGUUGGUUAAACCCCCAGUUGGUCUCAGACCAUAGGUAAAAAAGAUGGCCAGAAUUCACAAAGAUUGUUUUGAAUCUGGUCUGAAACCAUGGCUUAUGCAGAUUUUAUGAUUUAUAACUAUUCCCCAUUUAAGCCCCUUUCACAAUUAGUGGUGCGACUGCUUACGACCGUUGCGAUUCUGUGCAACAUAUAUUGUGACCAAGUGAUCGCCCCUGUGAAAGGCCCUUUAGUCAAAUGAUGACUGCACACUUUUGUCACUGCACUAAAUUUCGCAAUGAAUUGUGCAUUAACGAGCCCACAAUUUUGAUUAAUGAAUCCAUUUAUCUGUUUGGAUUGAAUUUACAUAAACAGUUGAAUUUAACCAUACCAAUAAGUGAAUUGAGUGCCGUAUGACAAAAGUAUGCAUUUAUCUUUGGACCCAUAUCUCAAUUAUGGAUCAUUAAUGAAUAAAUUCUGUGUAAAUAAACCAUUGUUUAAGACCGUAGACUUCAAAACUAACUCAAUGAAAUCAUGCAAUUUGGUCCACCAUCUUCUUGGCAUAAUUAUUGUUUGGUCCAAUUAUCAAUUGGUUUAUUAAUUUCCACUUGAUAUAUUUCUCUAGAUCAUGUAAUAAAAUUGUUUACAAGCAUUCAAAUUUUAUGCAUACAUGUACUUUUAAUGUUGUUCCAGACUAUCUAAAAAGCACACCAGAAGCUUGCCAGACAUAGCAACAAGUAAUGUAUGCAAACAGGAUUCUAAGUAUUUUCUUGUUUAUUUAUUACUGACAGGUUAAAGGAAUACCUCAUCAUUACUAGGAUCUUUAGGAAAGAAACACCUGUAAAUUUGAAUUGUUAAAGUUAACAGGUUUCUUAGACAUACAUUUUCCUCAAAAAUUGAUUUAUACACACAAUGUCUACUACAUAAAAUUGAAAAAUAGUGAUUUUUUUUCUACCCAACAUUUUUUUUUUCAUCUCUCAAAAUACUGCAUAAAUUGUAUUCAAUGAGGUUGUCACCCCUGCCUUCAUUUCUGUUUUCACCAAUCACAGUUGUUGUUUUUUUUACAUAAUGCAUACAUCUCGUAGAUUAAGAAAUAUAACAUGAAUCGCUUCUAAAGUUAAGAUUGAUUGUAUUAAUAUCAGUUGUUUUUAAGAUGAGUCCCUGAAAAUGGAGCUAAGAAUGACAUUAUGGCUUUAUGUAGGUCAGUUCGUUGGUAUGGUUUAAUGCAUUAAAGAUUGAUUGAUCAUGCAGGUGGAAUUAACAAACGUAAUUAAACAUUUUCUAAUUCAUUUUAAAUCCUUAUUAAAUGCAUGUAUUUUCCUUGCCAGCUAAAGACAAUUUUAAAUGAGAUUAAUGGCAAUUUUUGAAAAUAUAUUAAGGGAAAUAUAUUUUUGUGUCUUGAAAAGUGGUGUUAAAAUUAUGUAUUGUCUUGGUAAAUUAAAUGAAAAAUUUUGAAAUUAAGUUUUGAUGAAGUGGAGUGGGUUUCUUGUAGAAUCAGAAUAUGAAGAGAUGUCUGAUAUAGUCCGUAAGCAUUUUAAAUUUGUGAAACAAAUUAGUUGCCAAAUUUUCCAAGGGUUCUAUACAAUAGUAUUUUUAAGAUUUGUGUUUAAGAGUGAAACUUUACAAUUAGGAAUACUGUUCAUCAAAUAAGUAGAUAGCCAAUCAUUACGUGUAAUGAUUUGAUGUGCAUGCCUUUUCACAGAGCAGGUUUUGCACUGAGUAAAUGUGAGAUGAAGAUAGAUUGAUAAUUGGUGUGGCCUGUUCUGAGAAAAAAAAAUGCAUUAAAAAAUGUUGCCGCAUGUUAUGAUGAUUUUUCAAAAUUCAUUUGUUGGUACAUGUAUUCCCCAAAACAAACUAUUCACUAUUUACUGUAAUAGUGUGUAUAGCUACAUGCUAUCUUUAAAGUAUUCUAUUUUGUCAUCACUCCUCAUGUAAAAAGACAAACCUUGAAAAGAUAAAAUGAAAAUGAUUUUCAAGAAAGUUGGAAUAUCACAACAAUACAAUAUUACCUGAAAUUUGAAUUAUAUCUUUGAGAGGUACAUGUACCUUAUGAUAAGAUACCUGUUCCGGCCAUGAUACAUUGCAUUGUCUGUUUUGGUGCUGUAAUUAUUUGCUUGCUCAAAAACGGAACAGUACAAUUUAUUUCCAGGUAGUAGUGUGAUGCCUGUUUAUUCAAAUUUCUUGCGGUUCACCGCUUCACCAACUUUUCAACCAAUUUUACCAAAGAUUUUGAAAUGAAAUGGAUCAAUACAAGGGCAUAAUAUGUGUGACCCCCUAUCCAAACUGAAUGUGAAUAAAAAAGCAAAAGUUGUUUUCAUGAACACAUAACUGAUAUAUAUGUCCUGAGAGAGUAUUUUCUCCCAAAUAAUUUGAUUCUUAUUUGUAUGUGGUAUAAUGCCUGGAUAAUUGGGAGGUAUUUCUGUCAAAGUAAGGCAUACAGAGUUGCAGUAACCAUGGUAAAAAAAAAGUUCAUAGCCAAAUUUUUAGAAUUUAUUACAAAACUAAAAUUUACAUUGCUUGAUAUCUAGUUUGAAGAACAUGAGGAGACUACAUAUUUCUAAGAACCUAUGAUAAAUUUGAAGCAGGUACAUGUAUAUGAUGUUUACAUGUCUGAAUUGUAUUCUACGGGUUAGUUUCUAUUGUCAAAUUUAACUUUUAUGUUUAUGACAUACUAGUAGUUAAAUUUUCCUCUUUCCUUUAUUGCCUAUUUUAAUUCUUCAUAUUGUGCUAUGAAAUUUAGUCUUUUCUUUCAAAGGUAUAGAUGUAAUUGUUUAUCAUUUGCUCUUGAUCAUAUUGAUAAAAUGCAUUUGAAUGUUUAAAUCUUAUUUAUAUUAAUUCAUUCCACACGCAUGCAUUUAUAGAGUAUUCCUAGAUAUCAUCCUUGGUACGUAGGUUAUUGCUUGUGUGUGAUCAGUAUUAUAAACAUUUGUUGCCAAUUUGCAUACCACUCACUUUAAGCCUAAUUCUUGAUAAAAAUUCACACUGCAUAAAUUAUUGUUAGAUUUUAGUUAACAUUAUCAUGUUGGCAAUAUGCUAGAUUCUUAUAUAGAAAUGUUAGGAAUAUGAUAUAUACUUGAAACACUUUGCCAACUGAAAUAAUGUGAGAUAUGAAUAUUGAACAAUUCAACUUACCAGGUUACGGAGAGAGAUAACCUAUAUAGUGGAGAUAAACACUGUAACGUUUAUCAAAUUGUAUUGUUCUUAUUCUCACAGAUAAAUUUCUUUGUGCAGAUUAAUUAAAUGUUGCUAAAGCAA